GGGUGUGCAGAUAUAUUUAUAAACCGAUUGACCCGAUUGACCCGAUCAGAUCCACCCGAUAAAAGCCGGGUUACAAUUUAAGCGGGUCGUCUGAAGAAUUAUACGGGCGAAACCGCAGCUAAAGAACCAACCCGUAUCCCAUCUGUCCCAAGUUCCAACUCCCUCCGUCUUCAACAUAGCCCCCCCUCUCUCUCUCUCUCGACCUCUCUCUCAUCACCGUGGGUCUCUAUUUCUCUCGCUCUCUCUCUCUCUCUCUCUCUCACACACACACACACACACAGACGGCGGCGUGGGUCUCUCUCUCUCUCACUCUCACUCUCUCUCUUCGGCCGCAGCUCCAAGAUCAGCUUCGGCGUGGGUCUCGACUCUCCAAGACGGAGGUAUGUUCCUUUUCAUAAAACCCUUCAGAUCAACUCAUAAUUUAUUCACAAGGCCAUACCUGUGCAUCAUGAUUCAUAACCCCAAUACAGACCUACACAGAAAUUAAUAAUCUCAUUUGCUAGCAAAUAACCUUCUGUUGUGUGUAUUUUUAUAUUCGGAUUUGUUGGGCUGUAAUUGCGGUGGUGAUAAGAAAAUCUUAAUCAUUUUCUAGUUUUCUUUGAUAAUGUUUCCUAAAAAUGGAAAAUCUGUAAUUGAGGAGGCCCAAGUUUUAUCGAUUUUUCUCUUCAGCCUUUCUAUUAUGCCCUGAGAUAUUAUUAUUAGUAUAAGAAUUGGUUAAAAAGGAUGUUGGGUUUUUUCUUUUUGGAUGGUUGCUGAAUUUUCGCCAUUAUUGGUUAAGAUUAAUGUGAACUAUUUUUGGAAAGUAUCGUCCUUUUUGGAGGGUUGUUGAAUUUUUCCCCAUUGCUUUGUUUUAUACAUUCUUUUGGUUAAUGGCUGGAAUAUUCCUGGCAGAGGGAAUAAUUUAAGGCCAAUUUACAGUAUUAAAUUUAGAGAUCUAAAUGGAUGUGGGGGGUUUUUUUUCUUAUAGGAUGUAAUUGCACAAAGAUUUGGGUGAAUGAUUUCUUGAAUUGAAGGGUUCUUGCUGCUUACUUCGUACUCUAGAAAUCAUACUCCUUUUGGAGGACAGAUGCAUUGGAUUGGGUUUAAGUAAAUAUCCUAGGGUACUUAUUUCUGCCAUGAACAGGGAGCUACCCACUUCUCCAUUUUGUCUUUAAGAAUGAAAAUGAUAGCAUGAUUCAUUUCAGGAAUGAAUUUGAUCCCCAAUCAAGCUUUAUUUAUGUUGAUGAUGAGUGACUUAAGGCUUAUGGUCUACACAUUCUAUAUUGUUUAUUGUUUAUGUUAUGGAUGGCCUAUGGGAUGUAAUGUAGUGGAUAGAUGAAUGGAUUUGUGAGAAAGGCUGGAUGUUAUAUUCAUGUUUAUUUUUAGUUCAUGAAUUUGUUUAAAAGGACUGUAUUAUUUUCUAUGGAUCAUAAUAUAUAUAGUCAUUAUAUUCAUGUUUA